CAGACUACCUGUUGAGGUGCCGGUGCUUUAUGUAACCAUUUAUAGCUAGCUCGUCUAACAGCAACCUCAUGAGCUUCACCACCAAGUUAGAAAGUUGUGCAACUAAUAAGGACGCAAGCUAGGCUACCAAAACGGCAAAGAGAUAGCAAAGUGUUAACCUUGUUAACUUUAACUGCAGUAGAUUUAAUUUACUCUUCUCAGGAGAAUACAAGCUAGUGCUGUCAC
rnacentral:lncRNA from 1 species